rnacentral:misc_RNA from 1 species
GCCUGACCCACCACCUUCUCAGUUCCCCUCUUCUCAGUUCUUCUCAUCAACGACGCCGACGCCAAGAGCUUUACCUCCUCAGGACGUCACGUACCCUCUGCUCUCCUGCCCGACCGACGCAACAUCUCCUCGUCUGCUGUACUCCUGCUGUAAUUUAAUUAAGAAUUGCUUGAGCAUUAAGAUGGCUUUGAGAGGUGUGUGGCAACUUCAAAAGCUGAUUGUGAGCUAUUGUGACUGGGGAGGAAGUAGUAGGGGCAUCAGGGCAUUUAUGGAGUCACAACUG